CCUACGGGAGGCAGCAGUGAGGAAUAUUGGUCAAUGGCCGAGAGGCUGAACCAGCCAAGUCGCGUGAGGGAAGACGGCCCUACGGGUUGUACACCUCUUUUGUCGGGGAGCAAAGAGAGUCACGUGUGACUCAUUGAGAGUACCCGAAGAAAAAGCAUCGGCUAACUCCGUGCCAGCAGCCGCGGUAAUACGGGGGAUGCGAGCGUUAUCCGGAUUUAUUGGGUUUAAAGGGUGCGCAGGCGGAGGUGCAAGUCCGCGGUCAAAUUGCGGGGCUCAACCCCGUACUGCCGUUGAAACUGCAGCCCUUGAGUGCGCGAGAAGUAUGCGGAAUGCGUGGGGGAGCGGUGAAAUGCAUAGAUAUCACGCAGAACCCCGAUUGCGAAGGCAGCAUACCGGCGCGCAACUGACGCUCAUGCACGAAAGCGUGGGUAUCGAACAGGAUUAGAUACCCUUGUAGUC
rnacentral:rRNA from 1 species